rnacentral:rRNA from 1 species
AGAGUUUGAUCAUGGCUCAGAUUGAACGCUGGCGGCAGGCCUAACACAUGCAAGUCGAACGGUAGCACAGAGGAGCUUGCUUCUCGCUGACGAGCGGCGGACGGGUGAGUAAUGUAUGGGGAUUUGCCCGAUAGAGGGGGAUAACUACUGGAAACGGUAGCUAAUACCGCAUAAUCUCUCAGGAGCAAAGCAGGGGAACUUCGGGCCUCUUGCCAUCGGAUGUGCCCAGAUGGGAUUAGCUAGUAGGUGGGGUAACGGCUCACCUAGGCGACGAUCCCUAGCUGGUCUGAGAGGAUGACCAGCCACACUGGAACUGAGACACGGUCCAGACUCCUACGGGAGGCAGCAGUGGGGAAUAUUGCACAAUGGGCGCAAGCCUGAUGCAGCCAUGCCGCGUGUAUGAAGAAGGCCUUCGGGUUGUAAAGUACUUUCAGCGAGGAGGAAGGCGUUGUGGUUAAUAACCGCAGCGAUUGACGUUACUCGCAGAAGAAGCACCGGCUAACUCCGUGCCAGCCGCCGCGGUAAUUC